GUUCCCUUAGUGUUGACAUAAUUGGUUGACGACGAGAGAGAGCACGCAUGUUAGCAUUCAUGCUGUGAUCAUGGUUGUCUACAAGUGUGCUCCCUACCGUCGUCAUGCAAUAUGCUCAAAUAACGUUUGUGCU
rnacentral:pre_miRNA from 1 species